rnacentral:lncRNA from 10 species
UGGAUCUCUCAUGGUUGGUGUUGUCUUCAUGAUAGUGAGUGAGCUCUCGAGAGAUCUGGCUGUUUAAAAGUGUGUGGCACCUCCCCAACUCUUUCUCUUGCUCCUGCUUUCGCCACGUGAACUGCCUGCUCCUCCUUCACCUUCUGCCAUCGUUGUCAGCUUCCCGAAGCCUCCCCAGAAGCCCAGCAGAUGCUGAGGCCAUGGUUCCUGUACAGCCAGCAGAACCGCGAGCCAGUUAAACCUCUUUCCUUUAUAAAUUACCCAGUCUCAGGUAUUUCUUUAUAGCAGUGCGAAAACUGCCUAAUACACUCUGUGUAAAACUGUUGGUCUGAGGGUCAGACUAGGUCCCUAGUCUUAGACGCAUCAGAAGGCAUUCCUGACAUCUCUUGGGCAUCAGCUCUUUCAGCCCCCUCUGCUUGGACCAAGCAGUGAUGAAGGGAAGAGGAGAGACCACAGCUUGAUGAACGUCUGAGCGAGUUUGAAGUGCUAUUUACAGAAACUGAAUUCAGCUGGUGCUGCUCAGAACUGCCUUGCAGUCUGCAGGAAUCUUUGCAAGAUCAAAUUAGAAGUAUUAUUUGCUGAAAGGCAAUAUUCUCCACUCUAGGCUUGUGAGAGCCGAGCUCCUUGUCUCCCAGGGAGCUUUGGUUUGACUUUCAUCUUGAUAUUGAAUUUAAGCCUCAUAUUUUAUGAUAAAUGUAUGUAGCCCUCAGCCUGCCUGAUAAUAACAACUGCACCUACCAUGGACGUUCUAUUCAGAAGAAGGACUGGGAGUGGUCUCGUCUGAUUACUGGAAUCUGUUGCUAAUUAACUAAAAUCUCCCUCUUGUUUGAGCAGUCCUUCGUGGGAUUCUUCCUAAAGCACAUCUGCUUGCUUUGCUGUCUUGCCUAAGUAAAGAACACCAUUGUGAACAGAAUUGAAUUCCUGGAGGCAGGCGGCUUCCCGUGGUUCUGCAUGGCCUACAGGGCAAUGCUAAGACCAGCAGGUGGAAGCCACAGGGAUCUUAAUAUCAGUUCACUGGGGGAAGAACUUUCUACCAUGGAGAGUUCUCUGAGAAUGGAAAUGCUAGACUGCCUUGGGAGGUGGGUAAUGAGUCCCCUGUUUUUAGGGGAAACUGUCGGUGGAGCUGGGUGAACCCAUGGAAGGGCGUCCUUACCAGUUCGCAUCACCGAAUCAGACAACGUUUAAAUUUAAUGACACUGGCCGGGUGCAGUGGCUCACGCCUAUAAUCCCAGCACUUUGGGAGGAUCACUUGAUGCCAGGAGUUCAAGACCAGUCUGGACAACAUAGUGAGACCCCAUCUCUACAAAAAAGACAACAUUAAAAAAC